GCUGAAACACUAGUUCCCAUAAAAUCGCCAAAGUUAAGCAACGUCAAGCCUGGUCAGUGCUUAGAUGGGUGACCACUUGGGAAUACCAGGUGCUGGAA